GAGAGGAUGUAGUUGACACUGGCAAUCAGAGUCGAGUCGUACAGCUUACAAGCUUGGGAGAGAAAUCUAAAAUGACAACACACAGAAAAAGAUAAAAAUGAUUUAAGAGAACUUACUAUAAUAAAUACUUCGUCUUCAAGAUUCCAGUAUCUCACCUGGCUUGGAAGGUCGCUGACGCCACCAUGCACACAAACAUGACGCUGAAGAUUGGGUAGUCAAGCUGCAUGGAGCCCUCGGCACUGAGCACCAACAUGCUGGACACCGCCUUUACUGUGAUGACUGUGACAGAGCCUGCACACCAACCAACAAAACAGAGAAGGUGGGACAGCACGUCAGCAACAGUGUUUCUAUAACAGGAGCAGUGGAAAAAACAAAGGCAGGUCAUUGAAGGGCGUGAGCUACUAUUUUAAAGGACACUGGAGGUGUCUCAUGUGAGCAACUGAUGAGUCAUUGCUUCUACAUGAAGCUCCUAAGUUUCCCAUGUGUCCCUGCUUUUUAAUGUACAAGAUUCAUUAAACCAAAGUUGGCAACUAAGAAAAACACAUUUAGUCCAAACUUGAAAUCAGGCAACAAAAUGCGCUCUUUUAUAUUUGGCACUUUCAUUUAUGAACCAGCAGAGGGAGUGAAACACCAUAGCUGGGAGAAAACCAUCAGUUUGUACCAUUGUGCUUAAAUGAAUGCCAAGACA